rnacentral:tRNA from 1 species
AGGGUUUUAGUUUAAAAGAAAAUACUGGACUGUCAGAUCAGAGAUGAAAGAUAUAUUUUCAAACCUUG